AUCGGCAGCGGGCAGACAUCUUGUAUUCACAUUUCCCGCGCAAAAACCACAACAGCUAUGAACAACGAGAAAUUAAUUGAAGUCGUAAGGCAGUACAAACUUUUAUAUGAUCUGAACGAUAAGAAAUAUUGUGAUAAUCAGAAAAAGGAUGAAACAUGGAUUGAGGUUGGCAGGAAGCUCAAUAUGGACGGCAGAGAAUGUAAAAAAUCCUGGGCAUUACUGAGAGACGCAUUCAGGCGUAUUGUAAAGAAAAGAAAAAAUGGGCGAGUGUCCGAAAAGAAAUGGAGGUACGAAGAUGAAAUGGCCUUCUUAUUACCCUACUUGAAGCUCAGAAGAAAAACAAGCCUACUGACAUCAUCCCACGAUGCAGAAGACGAGGCAGAAGACGUGUCUCUGAUCGACGAAGUUCAGCCUUAUAUCAACCAGCCAUUUAUUUCUACUUCACCGCCUCCGAAAAGACAGAAACUGGAUGAACAUGCAGAGGAAACAACGAGCACAUUGUUGAUGAAAUAUAUCAUUGACAGUAGAAAGAACACACCUUCUGAUGAUAUAGAGCAGUUCUUUGCUGGUAUUACGACAACAGUUAGGUCUUUUCCGAUAAGAGAAAGAGCUAUAGCUAAAGCGAAGAUCUUCGAAAUAGUGUCCAAUAUGGAAAUUGAUAUACUGAACUCAACUCCGAUUGCUCAUGAUCCACUCAAUGUAGUGAUGCACAAGAAAGAAAGGAAAAAUGAAUUUGAACAAACGGAGUAUGAAUGACAAAUCACAUUCAAGUGAAACUAUGAUGCAUCUUUUUAGAUGAUCGUGUUUAUAGGAAAAAUUUUCGUGUGCUCGUUUGAGUCAAGUAUAUUGACUUCGCGCAGUUAUCUCUAGGCGUAAAUAUGGCGGGUCACAUAGUAUAUGUCUUAAUUGUGUCCAACACAAGUGCAGAGUUAGCAAUUCCUAUGAGGGUGAAGUUUGUUUGAUAGAGGCUAGGCCAAGGGCCUUUACACAGCCGAGUGAUCGAGUUGCACUUUCUUCCACUUAGAACAUAGUGCUUCAUACUUCACUACACCUACGAUGAAUCACAAAUAUAAAAUAUCGUAAAUCGAAAUUGCAAAUAUAUAUUUUUUUCAAAUUAAACGCUUAAUUUUUGAAGCCUUA